UACUGCUAGUGGAGGUUACUGGGACUGUAGUGGAGGUUACUGGGACUGUAGUGGAGGUUACUGGGACUGUAGUGGAGGUUACUGGGACUGUAGUGGAGGUUACUGGGACUGUAGUGGAGAUUACUGGGACUGUACUGCUAGUGGAGGUUACUGGGACUGUACUGUUAGUGGAGGUUACUGGGACUGUAGUGGAGGUUACUGGGACUGUAG